UAGUCAUAUGCUUGUCUUAAAGAUUAAGCCAUGCAUGUCUAAGCACAAGCCGAUUAAUGGUGAAGCCGCGAAUGGCUCAUUACAACAGCCAUAGUUUCUUAGAUCUUACUUUUCUACUUGGAUAACUGUGGUAAUUCUAGAGCUAAUACACGCAAAAAAGCUCAGACCUUACGGAAUGAGCGCAUUUAUUAGAACAAAAACCAAUCGGGCUUCGGUCCGUCAUUUGGUGAAUCUGAAUAACUUUGCUGAUCGCACGGUCUUCGUACCGGCGACAUAUCUUUCAAAUGUCUGCCUUAUCAACUUUCGAUGGUAGUUUAUGCGCCUACCAUGGUUGUAACGGGUAACGGAGAAUAAGGGUUCGACUCCGGAGAGGGAGCCUGAGAAACGGCUACCACAUCCAAGGAAGGCAGCAGGCACGCAAAUUACCCACUCCCGGCACGGGGAGGUAGUGACGAAAAAUAACGAGACGGCUCGCUAUGCGGUCCGUCAUCGGAAUGGGUACAAUUUAAAUCCUUUAACGAGGAUCUAUUG
rnacentral:rRNA from 1 species